rnacentral:snRNA from 1 species
GAGCAAGAGGGCUAUCUGUUGCAACAUCUGUCACCGCGUUGAUUGUCAGGGUUGAUUCAAAUGAUCUGGCUGGCUAGGUGGGUGUCCCCUUCCUUUCUCACUGACCCCCGUGCCUCUCUCCUAAGCUGCUGGCUCAGUGGGUGAGGACGACUUUCCCGGAAGAGAGGAGGACCAGUCUCCUGGCAAGGGCACACAGAUAUUCCCCUGACAGAACCUCCAAACAAGCCCUCACGCUCUCUCGCUGUCUACAGAGGACAUCUGUUCCUUACAUAUCAGUACAAACUGGACCUUCAGAUAUGUCC